rnacentral:piRNA from 1 species
UGGGAUUAAAAGUAUCUGCCACCACAGCCU